CCAUGUACAGUACAUUGUCGUCUUUUCUAGAUUUAAUUCAAAUUCUAAUCUUUAGAAGCCCAUAUCUCCUAAAUAUCUCCUAAAUCGUAGAUCCGAUUCCAAUGAAACUUGGACCUAAAUUCAUCUAAAUUCAAACCCUACCUUUUAACACUAAAUUUGCUAUUUAAUAUUUUAUUUGAAUUUUCUUAUUUUAUUCAAAUACCGUUUGAAUUUAUGUUUGCCUUUUCAAAUAUUUCUUUUUAAUCCAAAAUACCCUUUAGCCACUAAAAAGCCGCCGGUUGGAACUUUACGCCUUUCAUGGGGACGUUCGUACAGUCUACCGACCCCGACGUCGGACCGUUGGUUGUAAAGCCCGGCAAAACCAAACCUAAGGUCGAAGUGAUGCUCCUGGCACCCCACGCCUCGAUGCGUAUAGUGGUCGGAGCUUCACUAUUCCCUCGACCUCCACAGCACGCCGCACAGUUAGCUCUCGAGCUCUGUGUGAUCCUAGCCGCUCCACCGCCACUCACGGUUGUUGGAGUUACACUUCCGCCCCACCAAACCUACACCAACCUCCUAUUCCUCUAGCCGAUUUGUUGUCAGUCGACACCGGCUAUAAAGGACACUAAAUCUAGUCGUUAUGCUGCCAACCAAACCCUAGCCGAUACCUUGCUAGUCAAAUCCCAGCUGUCAUCCAAAUUCUAUACCCUCUACAAUACCACCUAUCCACCAUACUCUCAGCCACCUACUUUCUGUCUACCAGAAUCUAUACAUAAAAUAUAGAAUCUGGCCGAUAUAUUGCCCUACUCCUCAAUCAGCCUAAAUAUAACCAAACCCUAGGUAUAAUCCUACCUAAAUCCUAGCCAUUCUUCUACCAAAGCCCAACAUCGACCAAUGUUAGCCCAUAAUCCCUAUACCCUAUAAAGGAGAUAUUAUACCAUGAACCCUAGCUCUCCUAGCCGCUUAUCGAUCUUUUGCUAUCUUAUGGAUUUUAUGGAAUUUGGCUCUUCCUCUUCUGACAGUAGAGUCUAUUAUAUUUUGGAGGCAACCUGUGGUAUUUCGAGGAUCGGAUAAUCAGGUUGCCUAUCUCGGAUUUAUUUGCGUUGGAGUAAGGCAAGUUAUUAUUCCUCCCCAUUGAGCAUAAAUGUCCUAUAUUCUAUAUCUCUAUUCUAUGCAUUAGUCAUACAUGAUUUUGAAUGCAUAACCUGAACAUAGCAAACCAGAUAUAUGCUAGAUUUUGCUUAGCCAUGCCUAGUUAGAUUGCAUAAAAUAUAAUGAACUUAGAUUGGAACAGUACGGUAGAAAUGGUUAAUUUCUGGGUGGCUAGUACUGUUCCAACCGACAUAAGACUGCCAAGUACAUGUGAAGAACAUAUGAGUACGACCGCAAUUCUCGUAUGGGCAUAGACCUAGCUGAUUAAGUUAUCUAGCAAAGGUGGUACCUCUGUAUAGUGGUUCUUCUUAAGUUCUCGCGCAGGAGGCAAACUUAUGCCGAGCAGGGCAAUAUUGUGAUAUUUACCGAGGCGCAGGUAAAUAUAUGAGAUUUAAGAUUAAUGUCAUGACUUAUUUGUGAACCCUGAUUGUGAUGACAUGGUGUCAUACAAUCAGUUCUCUCUAAAGACCUCGGGAACGCCAGAACUCCUCUCGCUGCUGAUAACGUUACGUUCAGAGCGCAUGGGGACUAAAGUUCAUGGAACAGGUACCACUGAUGUUAGUAACCGAAAAGCUUUGCCAUGACAAGGCUAAUGUGUUUGGCGCGUCAUGGAUUACAGGUAAAGCGUAUAUCUACUGCAGUAGGAAUAUUCUUAAAAAUAUUCGAAUAGCCGUGCUCGCGGUUAUCGGGCAUUGGGACUCACAAUGGCAUCUUGGUUAGAAACCUAAUUCGAAAUUUUAUUAAAUACUUCUGCAUUUAAAACAUUACAGGUUUUCUACUUUGCUUUCUGCAGACUCAAUUUGGAGUUUGUGCAGAAGCUAGGAGUUCAUUUAUAUAAGUUAGUUUCAUUUCAACCUAAUUCUCAAGUCUAGAUUAGAUAGAUGGUUUAAGUCUAUAGCCAAACAUUAGAGUUAAGUCAUUCUAUAGCUUCUGCUGUAUUAGUUAGCCACAAGUUUGUAAAUACCCAUAUAUUUUGUAAUAAUAUCUCCUUUGGAGCCUUAUUCAAACGUAUGCAAUGAAGAUCCAGAUUGUUGAACCUGUA